AACGAACGCUGGCGGCAUGCUUUACACAUGCAAGUCGAACGGUAGAGGGGGCGACCCCUUGAGAGUGGCGAACGGGUGAGUAAUGCAUCGGAACGUGCCCAGUCGUGGGGGAUAACGCAGCGAAAGCUGUGCUAAUACCGCAUACGAUCUCUGGAUGAAAGCGGGGACCGAAAGGCCUCGCGCGAUUGGAGCGGCCGAUGUCAGAUUAGGUAGUUGGUGGGGUAAAGGCCUACCAAGCCAACGAUCUGUAGCUGGUCUGAGAGGACGACCAGCCACACUGGGACUGAGACACGGCCCAGACUCCUACGGGAGGCAGCAGUGGGGAAUUUUGGACAAUGGGCGCAAGCCUGAUCCAGCAAUGCCGCGUGCAGGAAGAAGGCCUUCGGGUUGUAAACUGCUUUUGUACGGAACGAAACGGUCUGGGUUAAUACCCUGGGCUAAUGACGGUACCGUAAGAAUAAGCACCGGCUAACUACGUGCCAGCAGCCGCGGUAA
rnacentral:rRNA from 1 species